AUGAGUCAAAUUAAAAAAAAUAUCAUCAUGAUCUUGAUGAUAAUGAUAUUUAUAAUACAAGUCAAAUGUACCACUCAAUCUCAAAAUUUUAGGUCAAACAAGGGCUCAAUAUUUUUUUGUAAACUAAAGUGUGGCUUUAAGUGUUCCUCCUUCAAAAAAAUUGGUCAUUAUGAUGAUUGCAUGAAAGAUUGUAUUACAAAACACUGCGCUGAUUAUUCGCAUAAGUAA